rnacentral:lncRNA from 1 species
AAUCAGAGUGGAUUCUGGAACAUUCAGGACUGCGGCACCUUGUAUCUGGACAGGGAUUUGGGACUGUGCAGGAGACGACUGGUGGUCCAGUGUGGCUUAAGGACUUGAUGGCGUAACCCACUUCUUCCACGGAGGAGACUGGGGAGAUGGAUUUGAAGAGGAUUGAACAAAUUGGAAGAAAAUAUUUGUCCUCUGCUUUGGUGUCAGAAAAGGGAAUUUUCCAAUCUGCCACACCUCAGUGUUGCGGCAAAAAUAAUUCUUGGCUCCCCUGGAAACUAUCGGGCAAGGUAGGGCAGAACUGCUGCUGCUGUCGCCAUUACCCUGGGCUUCCUAUUGAAUGGGCUGCUCCCAAGUGAACAGAUCUGCGUUGAUGCUCUGGUCGUCCAAAAGUCCUCAAAUCAGCUCUGAGCUGAGCCCACUAUUGGAAGAAUCUGCCUUUUGGAAGUUGACGCUACCUUGUGCUUGGGAAGAUUUGGCUCAAGCACUCUUUCCCUGCCUGGAGACUUAUUGGGGAUGUAAAAUGAGAGAAUAGCAGGUGACCAGCAAAUUAGGGGAGGAUUAAAUACUUCCAAGUUGUCACAGCAAGAAGAAAGAGGAAUAUCUCAGGAGUUUGACCUCAAGCCUACAAAGUGGUGGUAUUCUACCAAGAUGUCUGUAUGCUUCAUGAUGCUGUUGAGUCCUGUGGGAGGAGAAUCUGAGCACCCUGAUGCCCCUUAUCCCCAAUACUGCACUGUGGAGCUGAGAGUGACAACAGCCAAGAAUUCUGUAGAGUACAGCUCCAUCUGUAAGUAGAUGACAAUUUCUUGGCAACACAGGCUCAGCUGAGGAUGGUGUUUGUGCAUCUAAGCCAUCAUGCUAGAGCAGUUUGCCUACAUUUUUGUGGAACGGCAAAGAGGACCUGCUUGACCACCCUUCUUUCUGUGGAAGGAAAUGUUGCAAUUCAGUGUUCGGCCACAAUAUAUCUAUCUUCCUUAGACUCAUACUUUAGAAGCCAGUUUUCUCUAAAAUGGAUCCAGGAGACAUGUCUUUGGUACUGAAAGAUGAAAAGUCAUGCUGGAUGAGGUUGCUGAGGUGGGAUGAGGGCCAGUAGGAUGCCAUGUAUAGAGAAGGAAAGACUUGGAGCACUCCAUGUGGCCAAAGGUGGUUAUGCCCUACAUCAAACCCCAGCUUCCAGUGUCUCCUCUGUUUCCUGCUUGAUUUGCUCUGCUCAAAGACAUCUUUUGACCUUUUCUCAUUCCUUUGGACCUUUUGCUCUCUCUGUUUUCAUCUACCCCUGCCUGUUCUUCCAUUUGUUUUUUUCUUUAGGAUGAAUGAAAAUAUUCUCAGCUAUUGAUCCAGCA